rnacentral:rRNA from 1 species
AGUGAACGCUGGCGGUAGGCCUAACACAUGCAAGUCGAACGGCAGCACAGGAGAGCUUGCUCUCUAGGUGGCGAGUGGCGGACGGGUGAGGAAUACAUCGGAAUCUACUCUGUCGUGGGGGAUAACGUAGGGAAACUUACGCUAAUACCGCAUACGACCUACGGGUGAAAGCAGGGGAACUUCGGGCCUUGCGCGAUUGCAUGAGCCGAUGUCGGAUGAGCUAGUUGUGGGGGUAAAGGCCCACCAAGGCGACGAUCCGUAGCUGGUCUGAGAGGAUGAUCAGCCACACUGGAACUGAGACACGGUCCAGACUCCUACGGGAGGCAGCAGUGGGGAAUAUUGGACAAUGGGCGCAAGCCUGAUCCAGCCAUACCGCGUGGGUGAAGAAGGCCUUCGGGUUGUAAAGCCCUUUUGUUGGGAAAGAAAUCCAGCUGGCUAAUACCCGGUUGGGAUGACGGUACCCAAAGGAUAAGCACCGGCUAACUUCGCGCCAGCAGCCGCGGUAA